rnacentral:rRNA from 1 species
UGGGGAAUAUUGCACAAUGGGCGGAAGCCUGAUGCAGCGACGCCGCGUGGGGGAUGAAGGCCUUCGGGUUGUAAACUCCUUUCGACAGGGACGAAGCUUUUGUGACGGUACCUGUAUAAGAAGCACCGGCUAACUACGUGCCAGCAGCCGCGGUAAUACGUAGGGUGCGAGCGUUGUCCGGAAUUACUGGGCGUAAAGAGCUCGUAGGUGGUUUGUCGCGUCGUCUGUGAAAUUCCGGGGCUUAACUCCGGGCGUGCAGGCGAUACGGGCUGACUUGAGUGCUGUAGGGGAGACUGGAAUUCCUGGUGUAGCGGUGAAAUGCGCAGAUAUCAGGAGGAACACCGAUGGCGAAGGCGGGUCUCUGGGCAGUAAUUGACGCUGAGGAGCGAAAGCAUGGGUAGCGAACAGGAUUAGAUACCCUGGUAGUCCAUGCCGUAAACGGUGGGCGCUAGGUGUAGGGGGCUUCCACGUCUUCUGUGCCGUAGCUAACGCACUAAGCGCCCCGCCUGGGGGAGUACGGCCGCAAGGCU